rnacentral:rRNA from 1 species
UACGUAGGGGCCUAGCGUUGUCCGGAUUUAUUGGGCGUAAAGAGCUCGUAGGCGGUUCGGCAAGUCAGCUGUGAAAUCUCCACGCUUAACGUGGAGGGGUCAGCUGAUACUGCCGUGACUCGAGUCCGGUAGGGGAGUGUGGAAUUCCCGGUGUAGCGGUGAAAUGCGCAGAUAUCAGGAAGAACACCCGUGGCGAAGGCGGCUCUCUGGGACGGUACUGACGCUGAGACGCGAAAAGCGUGGGGGAGCGAACAGG